rnacentral:lncRNA from 1 species
GUCUGCAUUUCGUAUGCAUAUUCACCAGGCAUGUCAAACAAAAAAAACUCUUUCUCAAAAAUUACCAAAUCUAUUUGUGUAAUAAGAAAUUACCAAACACUCAACAAAAUCCAAAAUAAUACAUUCCAUUGUCUCCUCUCUUUCUCGCUUCACAUUCACUGAGCUAUGGCAUGUUGAUGUUGAGAUUUAGCUAAUCCUUCUCUAAUCCCAUUUGGUGUUAAUGUUGAGAUUUAGCUUUUGGUUUCAGUGAUUCUUUCAUUUUGUUAUUGUCUGUGGGUUUUGUUGUUUGAUCUGGUGGACUUAUUCUUACUUUAUUUGAAAAAAUCAAUUAGUUGGGCUUAUAGUGAUAAUAUCAGUUAUGUGGGUUUCGUCACAGGAAAGGGGGACUUUAAUCUUGUAGUUUCUAAAUUCAAUUUGAAGAUGAAUUCUACACUUCGACAGCUCUUGUGUGGUGAUAAUCUUAUGGUUUGGCGAGAUUCAAGGGUUUAUGGUUGGAGAUGGUGGACAAUGAGGGAUCAAAGGAAAGGAAGGUGACGGAUCAAGGAAAAUGAAGGUGACGACUAUGUUUAGUGUCUAGCAUAAGAAGAUGGGUGGAAUGGCAAGGGGGUUUUUUUUUUUAUUCAAUGGAUAUUUUAUACAACCAGAUACUUCAUAGGAACAAAGCUAGCUAACAAUGUCAGCCCGAGUAUAUAUAUAUAUAUAUAUAUAUAUUUAUGGCAGAUUUUAUAGCCAGUGCUCCUUACAGGGUGACAACAUUCCAUGAGAUAUGUUAGAAUAGUGCUUGCAUUUCUCUUGCUCUUCUCUCUAAAUGAACUCCUUGACGUGUUGAUGCUGGGAAGGAAAACGACUGGCAGUACGUGAUCCAGUUCCAUUCAAGGCUUGAAGCUUUCCUAUUCAUACAAUAUGCUUCUGCGAUCCCUUUGUAGCCAUCUCCACUGUGGAAAUAUCACCAUCUUUAUAUCUAUACCAUUUGGCACACAAAAGAAAAUAGCCGAAGUUAAGGAUCCCCAGACCAACGAUCACGUAAUAGAAGCAAUCCAGUUUCCCUUUGUUAAGAUCAUCGUCCAACCAGUCUCCAGAUUUACUCCCUGAAGUAAUGCGGUGGACUAUAGUAACUAGGAAACCACUUAGAUAAUUAGAGAUAGCAGCACCUGCGAAAAAGGAUGACCCAGCGAUACUCCUCAUAUUUUCUGGGAAUUGCUUGUAGUAGAACUCGAUCUGUGCAAUAUAAUUGAAACCCUCUGAAAGUCCAGAGAGUGAAAGUUGUGGUAUCAGCCACAUGGCAGACAAUGAUGAUAUAGCGCCUCCUUUACUUGUAAUGCCUAUGGUUGGCCUUGUUAAAGCAAUGUGCCUUCUCUUUUCUUCCACCAACCCAGAAACGAUCGUACAAAGCAUUGCUAGAACCAUUCCAAUUCCCAUUCUUUGAAGCAAUGUUAGUCCACCUUCUUUGCCAGUAAGCCUUUGAAGAAACGGAACAAUGAUUCGGUCAUAGAGGGGAAUCCAGAUGGUGAGGGUUAUCAUUGUAAAGAUUACGUACGUUGCGGCAGGCACCUCAAAACUGGUGCCCAGACGUCUAUCCAUCUGAAGGGCUUGGAAAACUGCAUAAGUCUGUUGCUGGAUCAAGGGAAUAUGAUAAAGUAUGGAUGUUGACCAUAUGGGAAUUAUCCUCAGCAAACACUUCACUUCCUCGACUUGCUGGAUGCUACAAAGUUUCGAUGGGUUAGUAGCUGAACCAUCCAAAUUAAUUUGAUCUCCAUCUGUAAUGAUCGCAGCUUUGUCAAGAAACCUGCAGUGGUCGUGAUAAUUGAGUAUUAAAAGUCAAAAUGAAAAAUAAAAAUUACCUCUGAUUCUGUAAUUGGCAAUCAAAUAAUUAAUGUAUGCUGCCGAUUCUUCACACACGAAAGUACUCCACUGACGAUGCUGUUGUAUAAAAUGAUUCAUGCUUAAAUAUUGUUGUCCAGAAAUUAAUCCUUCUCACCUAAAUUGUUCCGUGCGAGGAAGCUUAGAGUUGAUAGAUUUGGCCGGAAUGUAGCUGAAAAGAGAGACAGUUGAGUUUUCAGGAAGCUUCAGGCCUCGUUUCUUCGUAGCAGCAACAAUUACAUGCACCACACUACUUAUGGGGCUGCCUUCAGGUUUCACUAUAACAUAAAUUCUUGUUCCCACAAAGAACAUUACACAAGAAAGGAACAUUAGGAAUGCCGGAAUUCCGAAACCAAUGGGCCAGCUAAUGUUUGAUUGCACAUAGACAAUGCCAGUCACCGAUAUCAUCACGGCGAACGUGAAGGUAAAGUAGUACCAAUUGAAGAAACUGUUGAUACCCCUCUUGCCAGAUUCAGUAUUGGGAUUGAAUUGAUCUGCUCCAAAGGCUAGGUUGCAGGGCCGUAUGCCACCAGCUCCGAUUAUCAAAAAGGCAAACGCACUCAGCAGGAAGGCUAAUUGCCAAGUUGGUGGCCCAGCGCACGCACCUCCUGGCGCACACUCUGGAGGGUGCAGAGUGGAGAUUGCUGCUGUUAGCAUUAACGCCACCAUUCCCUAAAUAGAAACAGAUGAAAAAAAAAUUAAUAUGGGAAUUCAUACUAGAUAUAUAGUACAUGAUACAAAAAGCAUAGUAUAAGAAAAGAGCAACCGUAAUAAUUAUAUACUUGACGUCGUUGGGAAAUAAAAGAAAUUUUCUUCACUGGAUUUACUGCCAAGAACUCCGCGCAGACAGGAAUACUAAAAAAAUUGUAUAUAUAAAUUAUCGACAAAUCAACUCGUGGUGUCUGAAUAAAAAAUUGUGAUGUUAAAUGAAACACUGAACAUGACAUAAGUAAUCAAGUGCAAGUUAGCCUGUUUGGAAAUAAUAUGAUUGGGACUGUUUUUUAAAAUAAUUUUUAUAGAAUGUAUUAAAAUAAUAUUUAUUUUAUAUUUUAAAUUUUUUUUUAAAUAUUAGCAAUCAAAAUGAUAUGAAAAUAUUUAAAAAAUAUUAAUUUAAAAUAAAUAAGAAAAUUUUAAAUACAUUUUUGAAAUGAAAAAAGAAUCAGGGCUAAUAAUUUUAUUUUAUAAAAUAUAAUUAACAAAUAUAAAAAUCAUUGUCCCAUGUGCUCUCUGACCUGCUGCACUGUGACUCACACAACCACAGAUCGAAAGAGUUUUCUUUUCUAUUCCCUUUUUUUUUUUUUUUUUGUAACACAAGACUGUAAUUCAAAGAGAAAAUAUAUAACUACGACAAGUUUUUCCCUCUUUCUUCAGAGAUGACACCUACCAAUAUAACCUAAAGCAGCACGAAACUGUCAAUAAGUGAAGCAUGCAUUUUUUUUAAUUCCAUAUUCAAAACAUAUGUCAAUGAAUUGCAUGUGAAGACAAGAUCUGCGCUGUAAGUCUCAUCAACUUGAGACCAAGAACGUAAAAGAAAAGUUUAGACUCUAAAUUUGUUUAAAUCCUUGAAAGUUGAAAGUGCUUAGGUGGUAGCAUCGUGCUACAGCUAUCCCUGUGCUUUUGCAGGGUCAACACUGGCCUCAACUCCCUUCACUUGCUUCAUUGCUGAACAACAUCUUUUCCCUUUCUUUUUUUUCCAGAAUAAUUCAAGAGGCGAGUUAUAAAAAAGCAAGGAAUUACCACGAAAGAAGAGAUCGAAGCAAAACCCAAAGUUUUGUAGCGUCCGAAGUAAGUGUCAGUGAGGUAAGCUCCAAGAAGAGGUGCCAAGUUGGUGGUUCCACUGAAGACAUUAAGGAAUGUGGUGGCAGUGACACCCUUCAUGUUGAAAACUGUUGUCAGAUACACAACAAGAUUUGUCAAGGAGCCAACUGUGCCGAGCUUCUCAAAGGUCUCGUUUCCUGCACAUAUACAUACACAUAUAAAUGUCAUAUCGAUCAUGAAGAGAUCACGUACGGACAUGAACAGAUUUUAACAUCCAAAAAAGCCAACUUUUUCUGCCUACGGAAAGAGAAAUCAGACAAAAAUAAGCUGUGUGAGCUUACCAAUGACAAAGGGCAUGGCUUUAAUUCCUCCGUAUUUAACCACUGGCUCGUCAUUUGAGGUGGUUUUCUCCUCCCUUCCAUUCUCCAUGGAGGUCUCGAGGGACGUGGGAGUCUUUUUCUCUUCAUCCCCCAUCUUACAAGAAUGAUAUUUGUGACACUCUCUUCUAUGAAGAUAGAAUUAGAGAUGAGAGCUUAUUAUUGUAUGUAACUUCUAUAGUCGACGUUGCUGCCUUUAAAUAGAAGUGUUGGUACGUCAGCCAAAGAAAAAUGCUCCAAUCUCUUUAAUAAUAUAUAUAUAUAUAUAUAUAUAUAUAUAUAUAUAUAUUAUAAACACGUAAUUAGAUAAAAUAAAUUCGGCCAUUACUUUUUUUAUGCGAUAUUAAGAGAUAUUUUUGCAUAUUAACCGAGAUUAAAUAUCCUUCUCGACUAAUUUUAAAAAUACAACUUUUACAUUAGUUUUUUAUGUUUAGAAAACUACUCGACUCCAAACAUUUGAGAGACAAGGUGCUAAUGUUUUAUAUGGUAUUGUGCACGGAACACAACUUUUCAUCAUCGUAGGUCCAUUUAAUUGAAUAAAAUACAAAAAAUAUCUAGUUUACUCUUUAUACAUACUCUUGUGUAUUCUACGCUUAGGAUAAAGGUUGGGGGAUUUUUUAUUUUUACUUAUCCUUUUUUUUUUUAUCGAAUUCAAUUAUGAGAAGCUACACCAUAAAUUUAUACUUAAUUUUUUAAGGGUAUGUUUGUUUUUGUAUUUCAAAAAUAUUUUUAAAAAAUAUUAAUAUUUUUUAUUUUUUCUUUGUUUUAAUUUUUUUUGUGUUUUCUUAUUAUUUAAAUUUUAAAAAAUAAAAAAAUACUAUUUUAAUAUAUUUUUAAAUAAAAAUAAUUUAAAUAAUAACCAAUAUCACAAUACCAACAUCACGUGUUUUUUUUAAUGAGUAUAUACAUAUAGAAUAGUGAUACAGUGUCGUGAACCGUGUGGAUAUUAGAAAGCACCGUGUGUACGCAUGGUAAGGUAUUAGUGCUUGAUGGUGACCGGCGACAGGGGCUGACAUGUACUGUAGAAAGCCAUAUGAUCGUUCGUUCAUACCGAAGAACAGCCAUAUAUCUUCGAAAGUGCCUGCCUACCGCAUUGCCUUUCUAUCUUUCAUUCUUUUCCCUACUCGAUCAUGUGAUUAAGAAAUGCCAAGAAGCUUUGGUUUUGAGCAGCUGGAAUUGACAAGUACAGAAAAUGCAUGGCAGAUCCAUAGGAUCCUUCAUACCUAAGAAGAACAGUCGUCUACAAAUUCAUUUCGAGGCUCUCCUCGAAGAUGAGAAUCCACGGCACCCAACUACCAUUCUAGGGUUCAUGUCGAUAUCCUCAUUUUCUCUCUUUCUUUCGCAACUAACUUUCAAAGAUUCAUCUCUUCUUAUCUCUAUAUGAGACUGCUUGCUUAAUAUUUUAUUUGUUAUCCGUCAACAAAGAAAAAAUAUAGUUGAGAUUUUAAUCGCCAACAAAGCCCUUCCGAGUAGAAUAAAGUGUGAAAUUCUCAGCUUCGUUAAGAAAACUAUUAUAAAGUAAGUGUAAACAAAAGAAUUAAAACAAUCAACAUAAAAAGCUAUAAUGGAAAAAUUCUCAAAUUGUUUUUAAAAUAUCAACCAUAAAACAAUAAACAUAAAAAUAUACAAUUAAUAAAUCAACUAUCGAUGACAUAGCUAAUCAAGCACUAUUUUUUAAAAAAAAAUAUCAAUCGUGUUUUGCUUCCUUCCUAACGUGUCAACCAACUAAAUUAUUUCAAAACAAAGUGUUAUUUAGUUUUCGCAUGAUACUUAGGGUUAUAAAAACUACUAUAUUGAAUCUAUAUCUAUUUAUUAACAUUCAACUUUUCAUCUUCUUUUAAAAUUCUCUAAUUUCUUUUUACAAAAAUUAAAUAUCCCAAAAGACCCUAAGAGUAUGUUUAGUAACAUAAACUAUUUUUCUUUUUAAUCUCUAUUUUUAUUUUUCUUUUCAAGUUUCUCUUUUCUAAUAGAAAAUUUGAAAACGUGUUCAUUUGUUGGAAACUAAGAUGAUUUUCUUCAUAAAAGAAAAGGAAAUAAAUCAAGAUUAUAAUUGUAUUUCAUGAAAAAUUAAAACCAUAAUUUAAAAUAAUCAUCUUAUUUUUUGUAUUUGUGAUAAUUUAAUUGUAGAAUAUUAAGUUUAUUUCAUUAAAUUAAAAAUUAUCAUGAAAAAUUUAUAUUAUUAUCUCAAAAAAUUCUUCAUAAAAUAAUUAUGAUAAAAAGUAAAUUUAUCACGCUAACUAAAUACGAAAAUAUAUAAAAAAAUAAUUUUAAUAUUUUACAUUGCUAAAAAUUGCUCGUAUAUAAAAGAAAUUUUUUUUAUUGUUCAUGUUUUUUCUUUAAUUGAAAAACUAAAGAGAAUCUCUAAAAAUAUAUUUUCCAAACUCAAUACAAAUUUGAAAAACUAAAAAAUUAGUUUUUCAACUUUUUUGAUGGAGAAAUAUUGCAUUUGAUAAAGAAGUUCUAGUUUUCCUUUUUUAACUUUAGUUUUUCAUAAAAUUGAAGUAUUACUUUAUUUCUAGAUUUUGUUCUUCAAAAAAAGACAUUUUCCAACCGCUCUCAAAGAAAACAUUCUCCAAUCACAUGUUUUUAAAACCUUACUUACUACAUGUCUAAUGUUAACUAGGUAAUUAUAAGUAAUGUCGUAUAAGGUAUGGUUGGGGAAUGUCUAGGGCCUUACCAAAAAGAAAUUAUUUUUGAAAGGGAUCAUCUCUUCCCUUUGAACAUUAAAAGAGAAAUACUUCAAUUUUAAAAUGACCAUGUUAUCCUCAAUAUUUGGAAGAAAUCAAUUGCAAAAUGGCCUAGUGUUGCCUCUUUUGAUUACAUCAACUAGCUCAACCGAAUGAAGCAAAACUUUGGUAUUGGGUAGAAAUGCCAAAGGAUUUUCAACACCAUUUAAGUGUUUAAAAUUACCAUAAAGAUAAAUAAAGAGAUGUUGGCCACGUUUUCUUUUCUGGUUAAAUUAUAAAGUCUUUACCUCUAGGUGUAAUAUGUAAAUUAUAACUCAUCUUGAGUUGGAUACGAUAAAAGAUCUUUUUAGAACUGAAGAAUUAUGUGCUUCUUUAUAAGUUCUUAUUGGUCAAUUUAAAGACCUAUUAAAAGGCACUCCUAUGUAUAAUUCUCUUCUCAAAUGAGAAAAGAAGAAAAAAACUUUGCAAACUAGUAUGAGCACAUAGCUUUCUUUUUUAUACUAGUUAUACAGAUACCUAAUCUUUUUUAAGUCCAAGAAACCUAAUAAGGCCUACUUGAAAAUAGUUAGGGUCUUAGUAGAAGGUCAAAUUAUAGCUUUAGAACUAUUUGUGAUUAGCUAUAUUAAUAAUGCCUUAAAGGAAUGCUAGGUUAGGAGCGAAUAUCAUCUUAUUGUGGUGAAAGGAAACAUCUAUGGUGCUUUUUAGUGGGUGCCAUUAUAGGCUAUAGUAUACUUUCAUGAGUUUAGUGAUGUGUAGUCAACCUUAGACCUUCAUCUGACUUAUAUUGGAGAGAGGUUGAUGAAGACCUCAUUCUAUAGCUUCUUUUAAAAUGCUAUGUGGAAUCUUUCCUGGCUAUAAUAAGUAUAAUUGAUCGAUCCAUAACAUUCUUUGUUCUAAUAAGGAUCAAUCUAAGUUGGUUGUCUCCUCUGUUAAAUUCCUAAUAACAAAGAACAUAAGUUGUAAUGGAAGAAUAUAUUUUAACAUGAAGAAGCAUACUAACUUAUUAAGAUAUUUCACUUUGGCUUAGUGAUUUACUUUGUUUAAAAAAAUAAUUUUUUCUUGUAUGAGCUUUAUACCCUUCAAUAUGUGACAAAGUAGUCAGGAUUCAUACAAUGCAUCAUGUUUUUAAUGAUCUAGUGCCAUAAAUUGAAUAGGCCUAUAUAGGAUAAUGUUUUAGAAUAUGGAGCAAAUGGUGGAUGUAACUUUGGAACCUAAACACUACCUGAGUUGCUAUAGGAUGAGAGACUUCACAUUGAUAAUUGAUCAUCAAUCAUGCAUUUUUUCUCUAUAUUAUAAGUUUAUUGAUGUCAUAUGUAACAUUUCAUUUAAAAAGAUAACUAAGUUCUUUUUUGGACUAGGAACUUUAUGUUCAAAGCAACAAGAUCAUUGAGUGAAAUUUGCUUGUAGUAGAACUCGAUCUGUGAAAUAUAAUUGAAACCCUCUGAAAAUCCAGAGAGAGAAAGUUGUGGUAUCAGCCACAUGGCAGACAUUGAUGAUAUAACGCCUCCUUUACUUGUAAUGCCUAAGGUUGGCCUUGUUAAAGCAAUAUGCCUUCUGUUUCCUUCUACCAACCCAGAAACAAUCGUACAAAGAAUUGCUAGAACCAUUCCAAUU